CUCUACUGUGGGCUCAGAAGGUAGGACCCACGGAUGACCUCCACCAUGGCCUGGUGCCCUCUCCUCUUCAGCCUCCUGGCUCACUGCACAGGUUCCUGGGCACAGGCCAUGCUGACUCAGCCUCCCUCAGUGUCUGGGUCUCCAGGAGGAUCAGUCACCAUCUCCUGCACUGGAAGCAGCACCAAUAUUGGGAGUGGCUAUGAUGUCCACUGGUACCAGCAGCUCUCAGGAACAGCUCCCAAACUCAUCAUCUAUGAUAAUAGCAAUCGACCCUCCGGGGUCUCUGAUCGGUUCUCUGGCUCCAAAUCUGGCAGCUCAGGCUCCCUGACCAUCAGUGGGCUCCAAUCUGAGGACGAGGCUGAUUAUUUCUGUCAGUCUUAUGAUAGCAGCCUCAGUGCUCGCACAUGUGCUCAGUUCUUGAGCUCCAUACUUGGGAACACAUUUGCCCUUACCUGCUCAGAGCACCAUCCUGAGGAAGAGGCUUAUCACCACGGCUGGCUGGUGACAGAGGUGGAUGAACAGUGCAGAGUUAACUGA